AAUUUAUUUGAGGAAGACUUAUAAACCAUCAGAUGCCACAAAAUCUAUAUUUAAGGACUUCCACAGGAGCCCAGAAGAUCAAAUGGCCAUUUUUUUUUUUUUUGCAAUGCUGGUCAUGUCAUGAACCUUAGAAAAAUGGUGAGAUUUUUGAAGUAGUUGUAACCAGUGUGAUCACUCGGGCAUGAUCAAGUUAUUUGCUGAAGGGACAAAGCUCAUAGUAAUUCCCUCUGAGAGAAGCCUUGAUUCAUCAGAUAUUGCUCCUAAGCCCACGAUUUUUCUUCCUUCAGUUGCUGAAAUAAAUCUUCACAAGGCUGGGACAUAUCUUUGUCUCCUUGAGAAGUUUUUCCCCGAUGUUAUUAAGGUGUAUUGGAAGGAAAAGGAUGGCAAUGCAAUUCUGGCAUCCCAGCAGGGAAAUACCAUGAAGACUAAGGACACGUACAUGAAAUUCAGCUGGCUGACCGUGACUGCAAAAUCAAUGGAUAAAGAACACAAAUGCAUCGUCAAACACGAGAAUAAUAAAAGAGGAAUUGAUCAAGAGAUUCUUUUUCCUUCAAUAAAUAAAGGAGUUGCUGGUAUUAAUCCUAAAGUAGAUGGUUGUCUGGAAGAUAAAAGUGAUAUACUGCAGUUGCAGCUCACCAAUACCUCCGCCUACUACACCUACAUCCUCCUCCUCCUCAAGAGCCUGGUCUACUUUGCCAUCAUUUCCUUCUGUCUGUUUAGGAGAACAACAGUCUGUGGUCAUGGAAAGAGUUCAUAACAGAUGAUGGCACAAUUUUUUUUCAUUCUUUUCCCUGGACAAGUCUUCCCUGGACAAGUUCGCUGGACUUCAUUUCUGGGUUUGGAUUAUUUCAGUUCACAUGCAUUUUUCUGUCACAUCAUUAUCACAUAAAUGGUUUUCAAACCACUGGGCAAAUGAUACUUUCUCUCUGUAACAACCAGUUUGGCCAUGAAUUAGGUGCAGGGCCUAAGGGCACUCUUUAGCACCACCCUUCCCAUAAUCUCAAUCACCUCCUCUAGCAAACCCACAUAAUCAUGCCUUCUGAGUACAGACAGCACGCAGCUCCUAGUCCCAUUCCUUAGUGCUCUUUAUCAAGGGACCUAUCUUGAGGCUUUCCAUUUCACGCACCCAGAAGCUACCUUCUCAGCUACUUUUAUUCUGUAUGUUGUUUUUUAUAGCUGGCACAAUAAAUGUUUUUAA